CUGGCGCUUGCUGUGUUUUUCAGUACAGGAAAUUCUGACUUCCAGCAUCACAAGGAUUAGACUUUUAAAAGGCUACUUUCAUAGCAGAUUCAGGAAUUAUACAUCCUGGGACAUUCUAAUUCUAGGAAGACCACCUAAUGAAACUUUUCGAUACACCUUUGUCAUCCAUGCAUAAACAGCAUGAUGUGCAAGGGUGAAGGAAGGGAGGAAACAGAAGAUCCUUGAUUGAAGAGCAUCACCUUUAUUGAAAGUUUCUACAAAUGGCAGUGUUUUCAAUGCUAAAAAAAAAAGACCCAG